CCAGUCAGCGCUGCAGCAGGCUGGAGUCACGACAUUGCAUUGUCAGCAUUCCUGACAUCGCUGGACAAUCACACCCAGGGGUUGCUAAAGAUGUACAGAGCCAAAAGCAAGACUGGGAAGGUGGAACAACUUGGAUGAACUUCUGGAACAACUGGAUGCCCAGGAAACUAUUUCAUGAAGUUGGUUGAAAUGACGCCCAAUGGUGAAAAGAACCACAGAUCUAACUACUCAUUGAAGGUCUGCUGUUCUUCGUGGUCUUCCCCUGUACUUGAGAGAGCCAGCUUCAAUUUCAAAGACUAUUAAGGAUACUGAGGCACUGGGGCCACACACAAAGGCCAUGAAAAUGAAGUGACUGACAGUUCUACCAACUCAGGACCUUAUCCCACAGUGGUCAAUGUGGCUGUAGUAGUGGAGGAGGAAGUUGUCAUGGACAAUCUGGGAGACUUCACAAAUUCCCUCAUGAUGUUUGUUUCGGCACUGGUUGAAUACUUGUGUAAUAUUUUACUUGAGCCUAACAGGCAAAUUCAUAUGUAUUUAAAUAAAUAAAUAAAAUGUUU